GCGGGGUUUGGACGCGGUGGCGUCACACGCACGGAGGAGGCGGGUCUUACGAAGCAGAGCGAAGCAGAUGGCGGUUUCUGCUUCGGGGCCACCAGGAAAAUGGAUCUGUCGCCAUCCGCGGCGACCGAGUCCAGUCCGCGGCCUGGAGGGGUGCAGGAACAGCCGUGCUUGUGUCCUGCCUGCUGGAGGCGUCCGAUUGGCUCCUGCGACGACAAAAUGGUGGACUGGAGGAGCCUUUGGGAGCUGGGGAAAUUAACGCUACCUUGCAGAGAUUCUCUUUGGGAUGGUGCCAUUUAGAGAGGAACUUGGCUAAGAAGACUGCGAUGUUCCUCAUGCUUACAAGAAAGUCCAGUUGGGCUUAACCUGUGAAGUUUCCAGGCUAUUCUCUUUGUGAUGAUGUCAUUUAGAGAGGAACUUGGCUAAGAAGACUGCGAUGUUCCGCAUGCUUACAAGAAAGUCCAGUUGGGCUUAACCUGUGAAGUUGCCAGGCUAUUCUCUUUGUGAUGAUGUCAUUUAGAGAGGAACUUGGCUAAGAAGACUGCUAUGUUCCGCAUGCUUACAAGAAAGUCCAGUUGGGCUUAACCUGUGAAGUUGCCAGGCUAUUCUCUUUGUGAUGAUGUCAUUUAGAGAGGAACUUGGCUAAGAAGACUGCGAUGUUCCGCAUGCUUACAAGAAAGUCCAGUUGGGCUUAACCUGUGAAGUUGCCAGGCUUUCAAGAUGUGAGCUCGGAUCACGUUGGAUCCAGCAGCGCUGAGUGAAGUGGAUCCUUCCUUAGUGACCUUCUCAGACCACACCGCCUGGCAAUUAACCCACCAGACGGACUUGAGUCCCAGCUCUGAACAGUGUUUCAGCUCCGCGAAAGAACCCUGGAGAAAGAGGUGCUGAGCAGAGCAGUGCAGCUGCUAGGAUAAGUGACUGAUCCCUGCUCAACAACUGCUGUUGCCUUAAUAUCUGAGCCCGACCAGCCGGCUGUUGCGUUUAACCCGUGGGCGCGGCGUUGCGCUUUCCCCCGGCUCACCCAUCCCGUUCUGAGUCAUUUCGCUGGGUGACAAAAUCUGGGGAGGAUGGCAAACCUGAAAGAGGAAGUCUCUGGUCAUAGCGCAAGAUUCUUUUAAUAAAUAAGCAAAUGCAGUAAA